ACGGUAUGUUUCAGUUUCUAGUUGCAUUUCAGGUUGAACUACUGCUAUGUUGAAGAGUGCAAUCACAAAUAUUUUGGUCUUUCAGGAGAAGACAACGUUUUAGGAGAACAUGAUGCAGUUGUUCCUUUUUGAUCUUCAAAUUGAUUCUAUGUACAUAUCUUGCUGCUUUGCAGUGCCCCAGCUAUGACUGCCAACAUAAACCAACUCCUGGAGAUAAGCAUGGAUAAAGCCGUGCUUGAUGUGGCAACACCCAAUCCUCCAGGUGAGGACAUACAAGAAACUCCAGAACAACAAAAAGUUUCAGGACAACUUCAGAUUUGGAGAAUUUCCAAAACCACAUACUCAUGUAUGCAGGAAAGCGGUUUGCCUACAGCCCCCCUGUUUACAAAACCCAGACAUUGCUUGCAGCAAACGAUUACAACUAUCACAACCACCGCAUUCCUGCACGUGGCAAGGAUGGACACCGAAUGUACAGACAGUACUUCAACAAGAAGUCCGAGCGCUGGAGUGUAUAUGUGUUGAAGGAGAGCAAAGGCUACCAUUACAUUCCAGACCUGCAGAAGGCC
ensembl:lncRNA